GCAAGCAUUCGCCCCCCCCCCACUGUUACUAUAACCUAGGUUAAAGCAGCGUUGCUUUGCAUCGGAAAAAUUUAAGGUAGAGCUUUGAUCUCCUCUCUAUGAAAGUAAAGUAAUACAUUAUCCUGACCUCAAAGAAGUAGUCUCAAUUAGGGGCAUUGAAUGAAAUAAUUGACCUUGACAUUACUUCAGCUCGGGGCACAAAGCUGUUAUCAAAAUGACUUAUCGAGAAGUAAGACAUGCUACAAUAAGGACUAUGUAUUUAAUAAUUCUACAUUUUGAAUUUUAAGCUCCCAGAGUGCUUACCACCACAAGGGCAAAUACUGGCUUUGCAGUGGCCAAUAAGGAGAGUACAUUGCAUUAGAGCGAAAUCUGUGCUGAGAUCAUGCGUUGGUAAAGGAAAUAAUCUUUGUUUAAACACUAAUAUUGUUAAUAUUUUCUACAUACUUCAUUUGCAUCUUAAUUUAGUUCUUUGAUUAUGAAAUAUCUCUUCUAUGUGUUGCAGGGUAUCUUUUUAAGUAUCGACACCAAGAUUGGAGGCAGAAACGUGCAGGGAAAGCAUGGGAUUAAAAGAACCUGAGAAAAUGGACAGCACUGUUGGGGGCUUGUGAGUUCCUGUCACAGUACUGAGCUUGAACAAUUUCGAUUAAAGCCCCAUGUUUGAGACUGUCAUUAGACCUGCAUUAAAUUACAUAUCUGGAGUGUUAAAAAAUAAAGAGUACAGUAGCUUUUUCUCAGCUACCUAAGGUGAGUGAAGCUGCAAGUUGAGGCCCUGUCCACAUAUAAAUACUGGAAGAGCUGAAAUCCAGGGAGACUGCUGAAAAAAAAAUUGACAACAACCACAAAAGACUUUAUUUUUUAUUGCACGAGGCCCACAUAUGACUUUGAAUAUUUUUUAGUCUGUUGUUUGGUGACGCCUAAGAAGAGUCCUGCUGCCAAUGUUCCUCACCUUGCCUCCCGUGGAAAGGGAAUGAUGUGCACAGACUCUUGUUAUGCAAAGGGAAAAAACAAGGGACAAUACGUUGCUGCUGAUGCAGGUGAUGAUGAUACAACCCAGCAGAAGAAGAUGAACUUCUUCCUGAAGAUGGAGCGACUACUCCUGGUCCGUGGUAGGUCUUUAUAGCAAGAAGGCCUCUUUAACUGCUUCUUGUUGAAACGUAUCCAUUUGGUGUGUGCCCUGUGAAACUCCAAAGCGAUAGCAGCAGCAAAUGCAUCUAUAAUGGCAUAAACAUGUAACAGCAUCCAACUAUACAGUCAAUAGCAAGAAGGCAGCUCUUAAUUCAGCUCUUAAUUUGCUCUGGCCUUCCAAACAAGGAAGAAGGUCUUCAGAGAGAAAACACUUAAAUGAUGUAAAAUGAAGAUUGUCAUCCAAAUGAGGGAUUAGUGAAAAGGAACAGAGCUACUAGAAGUAAGUUCCAUAUUACAGGCCCACAUACAGAAUCAAUAGAUGUUCUUUCAAAGAUCCAACCCUCACAACUUUUGAAGCAUCACAUACAACAAAGGAAGUCUCAAUUUGAAACAAAGGAGGAUUAUGGAUCUCAGAAACUGAGAAAAGGUGACAUUGUCAUAGAGCCAUGAAAUUCUGGGUUUGACAGUAAACAAAUCAACUCGUGAUGAUUACACAGCAAAUAUGUGGGAUAUUAUAGCUGGUAAGUGUUGUAGAGGUUAUUUCACAAAGCAUCUUCCUCCUUUAUUUCAUAGAUAAAGGAACCCCUGUUUGGGGCUGCCAUGUCUCUCCCAAACUUUUGUUAUCAGUGGAGCUUAGAACGUAGACCAUCUGUCACAGAGGUAAGUGUUUCUUGAAUUAAUAUCCAUAAUUCCAUUACUGGUCUCUCUGCUCACCUUAUUGCCCUUCUAUAGUCUAUUCUAUACAUAAUACCAAAACGAUCUUUUAAACCUGAAUUCAGAUCAUUUGACUAUGCCUAAUAAACUUUCUAGUGGUUUGUUAUCA
rnacentral:lncRNA from 1 species